GUAACCAAAACAGAAAGAGAAAGUCUUCAGACAUUUUACUUCACCGGAAUAGCAAAGUGAGCUUAAAGAGCGUCAAUUAAACAUGUCGUGGAAACACCUUUAAAUUGUACUUACUGUAACAGCUGAGGGUAGCAGCUGCUGGAGAUCUGAAAACAUCUGGAAAUGAUCUACCAGGUUGUGGUCAGUGGGAUAGAUGGACAGAAAACCACGAUUGACCUCUGCGACACAGAGCAGGAGAUGAAGAAAAUAACCGUGGAUCAGCUGAAAGAAAAGAUAUUUCAGAAGUUGUCUUGGUUCUCAGAAUGUGCAAAAAAGGACCUACGAUUGAUCUUUGCGAGCAAAAGACUGGAUGACGACACAAAGAGGCUGUUUGACUAUGGAAUCACACACAAGUCCUACAUACAGAUGGUUUUAAGCUUAGAUGGUGGAGGAGAACCUGAACCGGGUUUUACUGACGAUGAGCUGGGUGACAAGGAGGGUGAAACUCGAAGAAGUAAAGAAUGUCUGAUGCCUGAUGUCUAAAACUCAAACCAAAAUGCUUCGUUUCACACAUUAAAUGGAAUCACAUCGCUCCUCAUUCUCAACUAAACUUUUUAAAAUAAGUUUAAAUAAAUAAAAUAUUCUGCCAGAUUCUGAAUGUACAUUAUCACAUCUCUCUGUAUGAUCAGCAGAGAUAUUGCCUGUUUCUUGUUAUUUUCAGUGAGUCAAACAGAGAGAAGAAAUGUGGAGCAGCUUCAACAAACUUGUGUUUUGAAUUAAUAAAUAAAAUGUGGGAUUUAAAAACUGCUCUUUGCCCUCUAUGCAAUUUAAACAAUGAAAACAAUGAAACACAGCAGAUACUGUAAGACAAUUUGCUGCAAACCUCAAGAGGAACAUUGUGAAAACCACAGAUGUGUCAAAUUCUGACCAAAUUCUAGAUUAAGAGCAGAAUCAAAGUGUUGGGAUUAAAAUGAUCUACAGGAUAUUUUCUCAGCUCCAGUUCUUAUGUUGGAAUGAGUCUGAUUAUUCUGCCACUUUGUGUUGACAUUAAAGUGCUUUAUCCAGGCA